ACGCUUUUUGUCAUGACAACGCGAGUUUGCCAAUGAAGUUUCCUCCUCGUCAGAGCUAGUAACGAAUUGCUGUGUGUAGUCUUUGCCCAUCCCCUAAGGUGGGCAUUUUUUUUG
rnacentral:other from 1 species